rnacentral:rRNA from 1 species
CCUACGGGAGGCAGCAGUGGGGAAUAUUGGACAAUGGGCGAAAGCCUGAUCCAGCAAUGCCGCGUGAGUGAUGAAGGCCUUCGGGUCGUAAAGCUCUUUUACCAGGGAUGAUAAUGACAGUACCUGGAGAAUAAGCUCCGGCUAACUCCGUGCCAGCAGCCGCGGUAAUACGGAGGGAGCUAGCGUUGUUCGGAAUUACUGGGCGUAAAGAGUACGUAGGCGGUUAUUCAAGUCAGAGGUGAAAGCCCGGGGCUCAACCCCGGGAACUGCCUUUGAAACUAGAUAACUAGAGUCUUGGAGAGGUUAGUGGAAUUCCGAGUGUAGAGGUGAAAUUCGUAGAUAUUCGGAAGAACACCAGUGGNGAGCGACUACUGA